AACGAACGCUGGCGGCAUGCCUAACACAUGCAAGUCGAACGAGACCUUCGGGUCUAGUGGCGCACGGGUGCGUAACGCGUGGGAACCUGCAUUUAGGUUCGGAAUAACUCAGAGAAAUUUGAACUAAUACCGGAUGAUGUCUUCGGACCAAAGAUUUAUCGCCUUUAGAUGGGCCCGCGUUGGAUUAGCUAGUUGGUGGGGUAAAGGCCUACCAAGGCGACGAUCCAUAGCUGGUCUGAGAGGAUGAUCAGCCACACUGGGACUGAGACACGGCCCAGACUCCUACGGGAGGCAGCAGUGGGGAAUAUUGGACAAUGGGCGAAAGCCUGAUCCAGCAAUGCCGCGUGAGUGAUGAAGGCCUUAGGGUUGUAAAGCUCUUUUACCCGAGAUGAUAAUGACAGUAUCGGGAGAAUAAGCUCCGGCUAACUCCGUG
rnacentral:rRNA from 1 species